AUUUCUAACACUUAAUGUAUUAAGUGUUGCUGACUAGUAUAAAAGAAAAUGUCUUUAUUUUUGAUAGAUUUGUCAUGUAAAAGGAAGAGCAUAAGCCCUGUCCCAGAAUUAAGUGAAGUAGAAUUUUGAGUAGAGCUUUUACAUUUUAUUCAAAAUCCAUUUGGACAACUAGGUGAUAUAAAUUGCCAUCAGAAAAAUUUUUGAGCAAGAUAAUUCUUAGGAAUGCAAAAACAUGAAUUCAUAAAUGUCCAUCCAGCAUAUGACAGUCAAUUUCUAAAGCACACUCUUUACAAAGGGAUGUGGUUUUUAUUUUUAGCAUUGUCUAUUGGUCUAUAUGUCAUUUAAAAGCUUCCUAUUGCAAUGUAUUACCUACCUGGAAGACAUUUCUUUACAAUUGCCUGCUUUGUUGUGUUGUGAGUCAUAACAGCUUUGACCCAUUGACAUAUACAAUACUAAGUGUAUCUUAAAUGGUCCUUACUUAAUUCUGUAUACUUCUAAUUUCAAGUAGCUACACUUCUUACUCCUUGAAGUACAUUUCCUUAAAUGCUAGAUAUGCUCAUGUAUCAUCACGAAGAAUACAUUUAGGUAUUUUAUGUACCAAAAUACUGAAAACUAAUAUAGCUUUAUUCUCUGGCAGCCUCUCCCAGCCCACCUCUUUUUUUUUUUUUAAUUAAAUCUCCUGAUUGUAUCUGCUCCACAACAAAUACUAUCAAACAGUUUAAAUGAAUUGAGGUAUUCUCAUCUCCCUUCCUAAAGAUCCAUGCUGAUUCUUAAAUGUUUCAUGAGAAAUUAAUAUCAUUCAAGGAUGUUAACAGUUUUACAACUAAAACUAUGCAAACACUUGCAUUCAUUUAUCAAAUAUAUAGAAUUUAUUGAGGUUCAGUGGCAUCUGAGCAAUGAAUAUCUUCAGAAUAUGUUCUGUUAUCCAGGAAACUGAUUACAGCUGGAGUGGUGAAGACAGAGGGAGGCAUCGAAGUGAUCUUAUAGUGUUUGGAUCUCUCUGUUUGUUUGAAAGUAAUUUUUGUUUGUUUUCAACUAAAAUUGCUGAUAUGUUUAAUCCAGUGCUUCAGCAACAGUUAGGUAGUUGUAAAGAUCUAAAAAGUUCUUUUUGUUUUUAAGCAAAAGAUUAUCAGUCAGCCAAAAUAUUAGGUUUUCAUGUAAUUUAAAAAAGAAAAAAGAAUUGUCCAUAAGCUAUCGAUCUUAAGUGAUAUGACUGAAAAGUUUACAGAAUAUUACAGAAAAAUGUCCUGGUCAUGUUGCUGAAUGGCGAAGUGUUUAGACAAUAAGUGCAGUGUCUGUAAAAGCCAGGGAACUUUCACAAUGGUUUCCAGACAACAUUUUCAUAUGUUGUUCUAAAUUCUCUUCACUGUAGCACAAACCUUCUGAAUUGUCUUCUUUCUGAGCACAUAGAAUAGCUGACGCUGUGUGUUAUGAAUAAGAAGAAAUUACUGAACUCUUGUUUGGUAACAAGAAUCCAGACACAACACAGCACAGUUUCAUAAAUCAAUUGUGUGCUUGGUCAGAAGAUGUGAAGCAUAGUUAGUUCACUUGACUCAGCACAGCAGAGGUUCUGUUUCUUCACAGAGUAGGCCGUGAGCUGUGUUCAGAUGCUGUCCUAAAAUGCUAGCCUCUAGAAAUAAGGAAUGAAUGUGGUGUUACUCUGCACAGAGCUUAGACAGGAGCCCUCCAAUUGUUUUCUUACUUUCAUAACUGAUUUUCUAAUGAGGAAUUAAUAAUUACGUAUUUUUUAACUAAACAACCUGGUUAAACACACACACAGUUACAAAAGUCAUACAUUAUCUUUAUGAAUGAUAUGAUAUAAAAUGAACUCUUUGAAAUGGCAUCUCGAAAUUGUUAUUAUAAUUCUUAAUUUAGAAUACUGAGCACCGAGUACUGUAGUUUUAUCAUACCUUGUUCUAUCCUUACAGAGAUACAGAAAAUAUGGAAAUGAAACAAAUAUAUGGAUAUUUUAAAACCUUUUUUUCCUUGUUAGAUAAAACAAAAGAGAAUUCUAGAAGCCUAAAGUGGGUGCAGAAUUCCCUGUUUUCCUCACAGCUGGAACAGGCUAAUUCCAAACAAAUGAAGAUUAAUGGACCAUCAGUAAUUACAUUUAUGUUCACACAUUUAAGUGAAAAAUGAAUUGUUGGUCAGAAAGCUAACAUCUUAAAUGUGCGACUUAAAUGUGUCUCUCCUUUUUAGAUACUGAAUAAAUAUCAACUAAUUGUUGAAUUA